GCCUAGCUGGCUCAGUCAGUGGAGCGUGCAACUCUUAAUCUUGGGGUUGUGAGUUCAAGUCCCACGUUGGGUA
rnacentral:tRNA from 1 species